AGCAGCCGCGGUAAUUCCAGCUCCAAUAGCGUAUAUUAAAGUUGUUGCAGUUAAAAAGCUCGUAGUUGAAUUUCAGGCCUGGCUGGACGGUCCGCCCUUCGGGUGAGUACUGUCUGUGGUCGGGUCCUACCUUCUGGCGAAGCGUCAUGGCCUUAACCGGCCGUGGCGGGGAACCAGGACUUUUACNGUGAAAAAAUUAGAGUGUUCAAAGCAGGCAAUCGCCUGGAUACAUUAGCAUGGAAUAAUGGAAUAGGACAAUGGUUCUAUUUGUUGGUUUCUAGGACCGUUGUAAUGAUUAAUAGGGAUAGUUGGGGGCAUUAGUAUUCAAUUGUCAGAGGUGAAAUUCUUGGAUUUUAUUGAAGACUAACUACUGCGAAAGCAUUUGCCAAGAUGUUUUCAUUAAUCAAGAACGAAAGUUGGGAUCGAAGACGAUCAGAUACCGUCGUAGUCUUAACCAUAAACCUAUGCCGAUACGGAAUCGGCGAUGUCGACAAAAUGACGCGCUCGGGCA
rnacentral:rRNA from 1 species